CGUGACACUGUAGCUAGAGGAUCCAAGGUGAUGUCUCUCGUGGUUAUCUUCUUGCUGUUGGUGUGCUCAAUUCCAAUGUCGUCAACGACGCAGAACUGCGAAUCUGUAACUGAAGGAUCAACACUGCCAAGAGUCGCCUCUAAAACGUUUCAGACCCCUUGCACACAACGGUGUGUCCGCAACGACAUAGUGGCCUCAGAAUGCGGUGCUUCAACGCUGCCCGAAACGUGUACCAUGCUCGAGGAUUCCUCGUUUGAUGGUCAAUACACCUGCUGUACAGGUUAAUACAGAGGACAUAUCAACAGGGGAUCCUGAACUCCACCACAAUUACUUUCAAACAAGUCUUUCAAACUUCGAGAUAACGCUACGGGUGUCCACACCACACCACACUGAAUAACCAAACAUAAAGAUGGCAUUGAGAACAUUUGAGUUGAGAUCAUGUAACAAACAUUUAAGUCCACAUUUACAGAAAGUGUAUCAAUUAUGGCAAAAUAGUUGCCUGUCAAAGAUCAUAUAUCAAUUGACUAUGUAUUUUCAAACUUUCGAAGUGAAAAUAAAUUGUUUGGUGGA